rnacentral:rRNA from 1 species
GAUACCCUGGUAGUCCACGCCGUAAACUAUGGAUACUAGCUGUAGGAGGUAUCGACCCCUUCUGUAGCGAAGCUAACGCGUUAAGUAUCCCGCCUGUGGAGUACGGUCGCAAGACUAAAACAUAAAGGAAUUGACGGGGACCCGCACAAGCGGUGGAUUGUGUUCUUUAAUUCGAUGAUAAACGAAGAACCUUACCAGGGUUUGACAUCCCAAGAAUUUUGCCGAAAGGCGAGAGUGCUUUAUUGAACUUGGUGACAGGUGAUGCAUGGCCGUCGUCAGCUCGUGUCGUGAGAUGUUUGGUUAAGUCCAUCAACGAGCGCAACCCUUGUGAUUAGUUGAAUUUUUCUAAUCAGACUGCCCCGGCAACGGGGAGGAAGGAGGGGAUGAUGUCAGGUCAGUAUUUCCCUUACAUCCUGGGCUAGAAACGCAAUACAAUGGCCAGUACAAUGUGCAGCGAAGCCGCGAGGUGAAGCAAAUCACAUCAAAGCUGGUCCCAGUUCGGAUUAGAGGCUGAAACUCGCCUCUAUGAAGUCGGAAUCGCUAGUAAUCGCAGAUCAGCAAGCUGCGGUGAAUACGUUCCCGGGUCUUGUACACACCGCCCGUCAAACCAUGAAAGUGACCAACACCCGAAGUCCGAUUCGUCGGCCUAAGGUGGGGGGCAUGAUUGGGGUU